GAAAACAAAAUCAAAGCAUUGUUGAUAUCGUAUUGCAAUUCAAACCGAUAAAAAUGUCCUACCUAUACUCUUCGUCACUUGAUCCUUACUGAGCUCUUCUUUAUGCUGGGUUUGUGUGUCGGUUUUCAUUAAUAGUCUCUUUAAAAUUUCGUUUCAGGGUUUUUCAGCGUUGAUGCGUCGACAUUUCAUGGCACCAUUGCUGCCGUAUUGGUCUGUUUGACGUGAUUUAGCAUUGAGCAGCUUUCGUGAAUACAUCCCACGGGUAUUUAUGUUAAAUUACUUUGCCUUUUUCCCGAUCGCCACACCGUUCUCCCUAUUAAAUAGUUAGUGAGGUGCCAUAUUCUUGAAAGGGAUAUAUUGCAUUGCCACGUAGGAAGCAGCUGUGGUUAUUUCCGCCUAUGGGUUGUGCCAGUUGGGGUGGUGUUUGGUGCCCUUGUAGUGCAUUUCGCACCUCACCCUGAUUUUGGGUUUUGCUUUGGCUUUCGAGUAGUGGCCGAGUGUUGCUGUUGGGGUCGUCUUGAAUCUGCUGUGGCGAUUUUCUGUCGACUGUUCCUUGUUGCUCUGGUGUUAAUUACGUCUUAGGAGUCCCCUGGCCUAUGAUACUGCCGCCGAACUGUUUGUUUUCACGCUUCAGGUAAUAGUCUUUUAUGGUGCUGAUCUGUUCCAGCUGAAGGGUCAACUUUCAGGCUGUUGGUUUUUAGGAUUGAAAUUCUUGCUGGAAACUGAGCAUGAUGAAAUAAUGUUUUCUUGAAUUCUUUUUAUUUUUACCUUAUAUUUCCUAGUUGACGAUUCUCUUCAAUACAAAACUCUGUUAAGU